CAAUAGCGGAUAUUAAAGUUGUUGCAGUUAGAACGCUCGUAGUCGGAUUUCGGGGCGGGGCGACCGGUCUGCCGAUGGGUAUGCACUGGUCGGCGCGUCCUUCCUUCCGGAGACCGUUCCUACUCUUAACUGAGCGGGGGCGGGAGACGGAUCGUUUACUUUGAAAAAAUCAGAGUGUUUCAAGCAGGCAGCUCGCUCUUGCAUGGAUUAGCAUGGGAUAAUGAAAUAGGACUUUGGUGCUAUUUUGUUGGUUUCGAACACCGAAGUAAUGAUUAAAAGGGACAGUCAGGGGCACUCGUAUUCCGCCGAGAGAGGUGAAAUUCUCAGACCAGCGGAAGACGAACCACUGCGAAAGCAUUUGCCAGGGAUGUUUUCACUGA
rnacentral:rRNA from 1 species